AGGGAAGAACGUCAGUACCAGCAACCACUCGGGUACAGGACGGAUGGUCGACCAGUUGGAAAGUAAUUGUUUCU
rnacentral:miRNA from 1 species